UCAGGAAAAUGGCCUGAAAUGAUUAAUCGGUUACCAAAAUAGCUGGUGGAGUGACUGAUUCAUUGAUUAAUUGUUUCAGCUCUGCUUAUAACUGAUCUAGAAUUGAUUUCAGAACCAUUAAUAAAGUAACUAAUAACAGCUUAUAGCUAGUUAGCAGAAAGUGGCACCCUUGAAAGUAGCCUAUGUCGCCUUCAAAACAAUAUGUAAACCAUCAGGAUACUGCAGUAACCACAAUCUCUGGUGAUACAAAGUAAUUAUACAUGUCGUGUAAUGAGCUGUUCAGUCAAAUCGAUCCAACCAGCUGUCAACAUCAGUCGAGUGCUUUUAAAGCGGGGUUAACGGCGCUAACGGGGGCGAGUCAAGUCCCUCUGAAGUGAUGCACCCGUUUGCAGGUCAGCGUUUCCAGGGGUAGUGAACGGGAUUAUAAGAACGAGCGACAAGAGAUGUGUACAACAGAGGACAUUUUUCCAGAGUGGUGAAACAGUGCCAGCUACAGCUCACACAUCACGACUGCCCUUUCAUCCCUGUUGAGGCCAGUGUGGAACAGGUGGUC